GCCAGAAGCUUGGCUGUGAGGAUGAGAGCUCUUAUUAAUCUGUAAAUAUCUUCUAUGAAAGCAAAAGGAAAAUUAUUGAUGACAAAAAGUCAUUGUGAUUUUUGCUAAGUUUAUAUAUUACAUCUUUCCAUCUCACCAACUUUCAGGUGGAGAGAGUUUUAGAAGGAACUUGCUCCUCCCCCACUUGUUGGACAGUCUCUUGGGAACUGAGGCACAGACAAACUAAGUGACUUCAAAUUUCCACAGGAAGUCUGUGGUCAACGAGGGACUUGCAUCCAGGUCUCACAAACCCCCAGGGAGGGUCCUAAUUGCUGGGCUAUUUUUCCUCUUUACUUAUAAUCAUGACAGAAGUCACAGAAGCUAUUUUUUCUCUCUUUCGUUGCCUGUUUUUACAAUAAAUGUAACAUCCAAAGACAAAGGCAGCAACAUAUUGCAAAAAUGUUACUUUACUCCUGGUGUCUUACUAGCAGUAUGAUCACAUCUUUCAAAGACAGCCCAGGCCUAGACAUUAUUUUUAUACUCCUACUCUUUUAUUACACUGCCCAUUCCUCACUGGCAUAUUAGACUGCUCCUGGCCUGAAAUGGAUCAAGAGUGGAUCCUCUAUUCUCAAAUUCUGAAUCAACUGCCUGUUCAACCCCAAACACAGAAAGGGGUUGGGCUGGGCUGCAGAAAGG